rnacentral:rRNA from 1 species
UGGGGGAUAUUGCACAAUGGGCGAAAGCCUGAUGCAGCGACGCCGCGUGGGGGAUGAAGGCUUUCGGGUUGUAAACCUCUUUCGCUAUCGAACAAGGCCCGCUUAGGGUGGGUUGAGGGUAGGUGGAGAAGAAGCGCCGGCUAACUACGUGACAGCCGCCGCGGUAAUACGGAGGGCGCGAGCGUUGGCCGGAAUUAUCGGGCGUAAAGGGCUUGUAGGCGGCUUGUUGCGCCUGCUGUGAAAACGCGGGGCUUAACUUCGCGCGUGCAGUGGGUACUGGCAGGCUUGAGUGUGGUAGGGGUGACUGGAAUUCCAGGUGUAGCGGUGGAAUGCGAAGAUAUCUGGAGGAACACCGAUGGCGAAGGCAGGUCACUGGGCCAUUACUGACGCUGAGGAGCGAAAGCAUGGGUAGCGAACAGG